GAGUUAGGCAGCACAUAUACUAAAAUUGGAAUGGUACAAAGAAGAUUAGCAUGGACCCUGUGCAAGGAUAACUUGAAAAUUUGUGAAGUGCUCCAUAUUUUU